AUGGGGAACGGUUGGCUCCGCUCCAUCACCAGCGACAGGAUGGUCGUCGCCGCCGCCGCCUGUUGUUCCUGUGCGAGGGUAGAGAGGGAAGAUGACUGGUUUUUUAGCGGGAUCCAAUCUGGUAUGGUUGUCAAUCGAUUAGAGAACAGCGAAAAGUCGCCUGAAGAUUGGAACAGUGAUGGGGAUGGUUCAGGUGGCUCCACUGGUUUGCCUGAAUCACCAUGUUUCACGUCCAGGCUAUCUGUGCUCAAAGUGGGUUCAGUCAUAAGCAAGUUUAGUGAAUUCAAGCGCCAGUUAGUCAGGGAAAUUGGAUUCGAUGGAAUUCUUGAGCUAAAAUCAUGGCAGAAGAUCAACCUGAAAUACAACGCUUAUCUAAUGGAUAGAGUCGAUGUAGAUUCAAGUAUAAUAAAUCUUGAGGGCCAAGGUGUUCUUGAACUAUGUGACAAGAACAUGAAUUAUGUGUUUGGCCUCCCAUGUGGCGAUUCAACCAUACAAGCCGAAGGAGUCGAGCUGUCAGCAGCUUGCAUUGAGUAUACCCGUGUGGCAGCAUCGUUUAGUGACAGAGGCACCCACAGCCUGAAAGCAGCAGAGGCAUACUUAAGCAGAUGCAUAAUAGAAUCAUCUACUUACAAGAUAAAGGAUUGGAAUUGGGGAGGAUAUGUGUUGAAAAAUCUGUUUCAAGCUGUCAAAAAGUUCAAGGCAGAUGUUUUGAGAAGAAACCCAACCGUGCAUAUAGUUGGAUGUCAUCUAUUUCUGCAGCUUUUUGUGCCUGAUAGCCUCGAGCUGGGUGUUCUAAACAGGGCAAGAGGUGUAACCUCGCUUAUAGGCUUGUAUGACUAUGAGUCGAUCAAGAAUAUGGUUGAGAAAAUUACAGUGAAUGUUGCCCCGGGCGAAGUUUCCUUUCACGGCGCAGCGUCAGCGGAGAAACUCGGUAUACUUCUUCGGGAGCAGAAUGCCCGUGGGCUAGCAAAUAUUACAGAAAUACGUCAAGCGUUCUAG
rnacentral:rRNA from 1 species